rfam:Methylobacillus flagellatus KT, complete genome.
UCUACCGAGGAACGUUGCAAGGAUGUUCAUCCCCAGGCUCGGUUGCCGCAGCGCAAGCUGUGUAAACGGCGUUCACCAGAU